UGGCUCAGAUGGUAAAGUGUCUGUCUGCAAUGCAGAAGACCCAGGUUCGAUCCCUGG
rnacentral:tRNA from 1 species